AAGAAAGAAAGGGACGUGGCCUGGCAGUUUAAGAACACUAGGUAGAGAAAUUUUUCCUCCUCUGUCUUGAUUUUCUUAGCUAAAAAAUGGGGUUAAUCAUCACUUCCAUUUUGCCUACCCUGCCGGACCUCUGUGAAGGGGAAGUCACUGCACCUGUGUUCCCCCUCACUUUUCUAGUGGUGCACAGCUUUGGAGACAUCUUGUUCUGGGUUUAAAGUGUGAACAAACUGAAGGGCCACAACGUGAAGUCAGACAGAACUUUGCCGAGGCAUGGAUUUGACUCCCACACGCUUACAGGCCCGUGCGUGUUGCCCUGGAACCUGUGCCCCACUGUGACCUCACAGAGAGGAGGACUGGAGAACUUACCUGGAGAGCGGCCCCUCUAGGGGGACGUCCCACAGGUACACGGAGGCACACAGCGGCGGUAUCAUUAUUCCUACGAAAACAGUCCUUUGAGGAAGGAGUUCCUGGGAAGCUCAGGAAGUGGAAGGGGCCUGGGCC